rnacentral:lncRNA from 1 species
AGGAGCAGCCUUCUUUUGACAAGAAGCAGUUUGUUGCCUACAUGAAGAAAUAUAUCAAGAGCCUUACACCCAAGUUAGGCGCAGAGCAGGAAGAAGUUUUUAAGAACAACAUUCAAGGAGCAACCAAGUACCUUUUGUCAAAGCUCAGUGACCUUCAAUUCUUUGUUGGUGAGAGCAUGGCUGAUGAUACUGGAAUGGUGUUUGCCUACUACAAGGAUGGCGCCACUGAUCCGACCUUUUUGUACCUUGCACAUGGACUCAAGGAGGUCAAGUGUUAAAAAGAGUAGGUGCUUGACCGGUUAUGUGUUCUCGGUUUUGAUGUAUUUUUAACCAUU